rnacentral:rRNA from 1 species
AUACGGAGGGGGCUAGCGUUGUUCGGAAUUACUGGGCGUAAAGCGCGCGUAGGCGGCCAGUCAAGUCGGGGGUGAAAAUCCGGGGCUCAACCCCGCGAAAUGCAGGUGAAACUGGCAGACUUGAGACCGGUAGAGGCUAGCGGAAUUCCUGGUGUAGCGGUGGAAUGCGUAGAUAUCAGGAAGAACACCUGUGGCGAAGGCGGCUAGCUGGGCCGGUUCUGACACUGAACUGCGAAAGCGUGGGGAGCAAACAGGAUUAGAAACCCCGGUAGUCC